UACAGAGGGGGCAAGCGUUGUUCGGAAUUACUGGGCGUAAAGGGCGCGUAGGCGGCCUUCUAAGUCGAACGUGAAAUCCCUGGGCUCAACCCAGGAACUGCGUCCGAUACUGGCGGGCUUGAAUCCGGGAGAGGGAUGCGGAAUUCCAGGUGUAGCGGUGAAAUGCGUAGAUAUCGGGAGGAACACCAGUGGCGAAGGCGGCUCUCUGGACAGGUACUGACGCUGAGACGCGAAAGCGUGGGUAGCAAACAGG
rnacentral:rRNA from 1 species